UCAAGUAAUUAAGUGCAUGUGGUGGAUGCCUUGGCAGUCAGAGGCGAUGAAAGACGUGAUAGCCUGCGAAAAGCUCCGGGGAGGCGGCAAAUAUCCUUUGAUCCGGAGAUGUCUGAAUGGGGGAACCCACCUACUUUAAGGUAGGUAUUGCAACAUGAAUACAUAGUGUUGCAAGGCGAACGAGGGGAAGUGAAACAUCUCAGUACCCUUAGGAAAAGAAAUCAAUUGAGAUUCCCUCAGUAGCGGCGAGCGAACGGGGAUCAGCCCAUUAAGUUAUGUGUGUUUUAGUGGAACGCUCUGGGAAGUGCGAACGUAGAGGGUGAUAUUCCCGUACACGAAAGGGCACACAUAAUGAUGACGAGUAGGGCGAGGCACGUGAAACCUUGUCUGAAUAUGGGGGGACCAUCCUCCAAGGCUAAAUACUCCUGACUGACCGAUAGUGAACCAGUACCGUGAGGGAAAGGCGAAAAGAACCCCUGUGAGGGGAGUGAAAUAGAUCCUGAAACCGCAUGCAUACAAGCAGUGGGAGCACCUUCGUGGUGUGACUGCGUACCUUUUGUAUAAUGGGUCAGCGACUUAUAUUCAGUAGCGAGGUUAACCGUAUAGGGGAGCCGUAGAGAAAUCGAGUCUUAAUAGGGCGUUUAGUUGCUGGGUAUAGACCCGAAACCAGGCGAUCUAUCCAUGAGCAGGUUGAAGGUUGGGUAACACUAACUGGAGGACCGAACCCACUGUCGUUGAAAAGCCAGGGGAUGACUUGUGGAUAGGGGUGAAAGGCUAAUCAAGCCUGGUGAUAGCUGGUUCUCCCCGAAAGCUAUUUAGGUAGCGCCUCGGACGAAUACCAUAGGGGGUAGAGCACUGUUUCGGCUAGGGGGUCAUCCCGACUUACCAAACCGAUGCAAACUCCGAAUACCUAUGAGUACUAUCCGGGAGACAGACUGCGGGUGCUAACGUCCGUAGUCAAGAGGAAAACAAUCCAGACCGCCAGCUAAGGCCCCAAAAUCAUAGUUAAGUGGGAAACGAUGUGGGAAGGCAUAGACAGCUAGGAGGUUGGCUUAGAAGCAGCCACCCUUUAAAGAAAGCGUAAUAGCUCACUAGUCGAGUCGGCCUGCGCGGAAGAUGUAACGGGGCUAAAACUAUGUGCCGAAGCUGCGGAUGUAUACUUUGUAUACGUGGUAGGGGAGCGUUCUGUAAGCCGAUGAAGGUGUGUUGAGAAGCAUGCUGGAGGUAUCAGAAGUGCGAAUGCUGACGUGAGUAACGACAAAACGGGUGAAAAACCCGUUCGCCGAAAGACCAAGGGUUCCAGUCCAACGUUAAUCGGGGCUGGGUGAGUCGACCCCUAAGGCGAGGCCGAAAGGCGUAGUCGAUGGGAAAAUGGUUAAUAUUCCAUUACUUCUGUGUAAUGCGAUGAGAGGACGGAGAAGGCUAAAUCAGCCUGGCGUUGGUUGUCCAGGUGAAAGGAUGUAGGCAUGUAUCUUAGGCAAAUCCGGGGUACUCUAUGCUGAGAUCUGAUAGCAAGCUGUACUUGUACAGCGAAGUGGUUGAUGCCAUGCUUCCAGGAAAAGUCUCUAAGCUUCAGUUACACAGGAAUCGUACCCGAAACCGACACAGGUGGUCAGGUCGAGUAGACCAAGGCGCUUGAGAGAACUCUGCUGAAGGAACUAGGCAAAAUGGUACCGUAACUUCGGGAGAAGGUACGCUGUUGUUGGUGAUGGAACUCGCUUCCUGAGCUGACGACAGCCGCAGAAACCAGGCCGCUGCAACUGUUUAUUAAAAACAUAGCACUCUGCAAACACGAAAGUGGACGUAUAGGGUGUGAUGCCUGCCCGGUGCUGGAAGGUUAAUUGAUGGGGUUAGCGUAAGCGAAGCUCUUGAUCGAAGCCCCAGUAAACGGCGGCCGUAACUAUAACGGUCCUAAGGUAGCGAAAUUCCUUGUCGGGUAAGUUCCGACCUGCACGAAUGGCAUAAUGAUGGCGGCGCUGUCUCCAGCAGAGGCUCAGUGAAAUCGAAAUCGCUGUGAAGAUGCAGUGUACCCGCGGCUAGACGGAAAGACCCCGUGAACCUUUACUGCAGCUUGACACUGAACUUUGACCUUACUUGUGUAGGAUAGGUGGGAGGCUUUGAAGCUGGAACGCUAGUUCCAGUGGAGCCGUCCUUGAAAUACCACCCUGGUAAUGUUGAGGUUCUAACUCUGUCCCGUGAUCCGGGACGAGGACCGUGUCUGGUGGGUAGUUUGACUGGGGCGGUCUCCCCUAAAGAGUAACGGAGGAGUACGAAGGUGCGCUCAGCGUGGUCGGAAAUCACGCGUAGAGUAUAAAGGCAAAAGCGCGCUUAACUGCGAGACCCACAAGUCGAGCAGGUACGAAAGUAGGUCUUAGUGAUCCGGUGGUUCUGUAUGGAAGGGCCAUCGCUCAACGGAUAAAAGGUACUCUGGGGAUAACAGGCUGAUACCGCCCAAGAGUUCAUAUCGACGGCGGUGUUUGGCACCUCGAUGUCGGCUCAUCUCAUCCUGGGGCUGAAGCAGGUCCCAAGGGUAUGGCUGUUCGCCAUUUAAAGAGGUACGCGAGCUGGGUUUAGAACGUCGUGAGACAGUUCGGUCCCUAUCUACCGUGGGCGCUGGAAAUUUGAGAGGAUCUGCUCCUAGUACGAGAGGACCAGAGUGGACGAACCUCUGGUGUACCGGUUGUGACGCCAGUCGCAUCGCCGGGUAGCUAUGUUCGGAAGGGAUAACCGCUGAAAGCAUCUAAGCGGGAAGCCUACCUCAAGAUAAGAUUUCCCUAGGACUUUAUGUCCUCUAAAGAGCCGUUCGAGACUAGGACGUUGAUAGGUUGGAUGUGGAAGCAUAGUGAUAUGUGAAGCUGACCAAUACUAAUUGCUCGUGAGGCUUGACUAU
rnacentral:rRNA from 1 species